rnacentral:rRNA from 1 species
AUUGAACGCUGGCGGCAUGCUUUACACAUGCAAGUCGAACGGUAACAGGAAGAAAGCUUGCUUUCUUUGCUGACGAGUGGCGGACGGGUGAGUAAUGCUUGGGAAUCUGGCUUAUGGAGGGGGAUAACUACGGGAAACUGUAGCUAAUACCGCGUAAUAUCGAGAGAUUAAAGGGUGGGACCGCAAGGCCCACCUGCCCAUGAGAUGAGCCCAAGUGGGAUUAGGUAGUUGGUGAGGUAAAGGCUCACCAAGCCGACGAUCUCUAGCUGGUCUGAGAGGAUGACCAGCCACACUGGAACUGAGACACGGUCCAGACUCCUACGGGAGGCAGCAGUGGGGAAUAUUGCACAAUGGGGGGAACCCUGAUGCAGCCAUGCCGCGUGAAUGAAGAAGGCCUUUCGGGUUGUAAAGUUCUUUGCGGUAGCGAGGAAGGCAUUUAGUUUAAUAGACUAGAUGAUUGACGUUAACUACCGAAGAAGC